UCUCCAGACUCCUACGGGAGGCAGCAGUGGGGGAUAUUGCACAAUGGGCGCAAGCCUGAUGCAGCGACGCCGCGUGAGCGAAGAAGUAUUUCGGUAUGUAAAGCUCUAUCAGCAGGGAAGAAAAUGACGGUACCUGACUAAGAAGCUCCGGCUAAAUACGUGCCAGCAGCCGCGGUAAUACGUAGGGGGCAAGCGUUAUCCGGAUUUACUGGGUGUAAAGGGGGCGCAGACGGCGAUGCAAGCCAGGAGUGAAAGCCCGCGGCCCAACCGCGGGACUGCAUUGGGAACUACCGGGCUGGAGUGCCGGAGAGGUAGGCGGAAUUCCUAGUGUAGCGGUGAAAUGCGUAGAUAUUAGGAGGAACACCAGUGGCGAAGGCGGCCUACUGGACGGUGACUGACGCUGAGGCUCGAAAGCGUGGGGAGCAAACAGGAUUAGAUACCCCUGUA
rnacentral:rRNA from 1 species